rnacentral:rRNA from 1 species
AUUGAACGCUGGCGGCAGGCCUAACACAUGCAAGUCGAGCGGAUGAAGGGGGCUUGCUCCUGGAUUCAGCGGCGGACGGGUGAGUAAUGCCUAGGAAUCUGCCUGGUAGUGGGGGAUAACGUCCGGAAACGGGCGCUAAUACCGCAUACGUCCUGAGGGAGAAAGUGGGGGAUCUUCGGACCUCACGCUAUCAGAUGAGCCUAGGUCGGAUUAGCUAGUUGGUGGGGUAAAGGCCUACCAAGGCGACGAUCCGUAACUGGUCUGAGAGGAUGAUCAGUCACACUGGAACUGAGACACGGUCCAGACUCCUACGGGAGGCAGCAGUGGGGAAUAUUGGACAAUGGGCGAAAGCCUGAUCCAGCCAUGCCGCGUGUGUGAAGAAGGUCUUCGGAUUGUAAAGCACUUUAAGUUGGGAGGAAGGGCAGUAAGUUAAUACCUUGCUGUUUUGGCGUUACCAACAGAAUAAGCACCGGCUAACUUCGUG